rnacentral:miRNA from 1 species
GAAGCCAGAACAGCAAGAGGGAGUGCUGCGCAGUGAUCCCUCUUGCUGUUCUGGCUUUUG